rnacentral:rRNA from 1 species
UACGGGGGGAGCAAGCGUUAUCCGGAUUUAUUGGGUUUAAAGGGUGCGUAGGCGGGUUGUUAAGUCAGUGGUGAAAGCUCCGAGCCUAACUCGGAAACUGCCAUUGAUACUGACGAUCUUGAGUACAUUUGAGGUGGGCGGAAUGUGUCAUGUAGCGGUGAAAUGCUUAGAUAUGACACAGAACACCGAUUGCGAAGGCAGCUCACUAAACUGUAACUGACGCUGAGGCACGAAAGCGUGGGGAGCAAACAGG